GAAAUGCUGCAGAGACCCAGCCGGAAACAGUGCUGGCCAGCUCACGCCUGACCCACCCUUAUUCUAAGCAUAGGGUCUGCCUCUGAAGAGCUAAAGACUUCCUGAAAUUUAAAAAUUAGUGCUUUUAUUUGCUUGUCCUGCUAAGACCGUAGGCAAAGGCCAUCCUCCUCCCAUUGACAGUUUAGAGUGGGCAGAAACAACCACGGUUACCCUAGAAGUAAAUCCAGAGCUGCGGGACGCUGGAGGACAAAACCAACCUUCCAGGGAAGCCGAGGAGAAGUCAUGCCUUCAAAAGAUGAAGAAACUGACAUCUGGAGAAGUUGAAGUAAUUUGCACAAAGAUUCACUUGGCUAACGGAGUUUUGCUCUGUCACCCAGGCUGGAGUGCAAUGGCCCGAUCUCGCCUCACUGCAACCUCCACCUCCCGAGUUCAAGAGAUUCUCCUGCCUCAGCCUCCCAGGUAGCUGCUCCAGGCGCCCACCACCAUGCCUGGCUAACUUUUGUAUUUUUGUAGAGACGGGGUUUCUCCAUGUUGGCCGAGACGGUCUCGAACUCCUGACCUCAGGUGAUCCGCCUGCCUCAGCCUCCCAAAGUGCUGCGAUUACAGGCGUGAGCCACCGUGCCCAGUGAACAAUUUAUUUCCUAAUCAUCAUGAAGAGAAGAAAAAUAAUUAUUUAUUCUCUGUUCAUGCUGGCACUGUGCCUCACAUCUGCAAUCCCAGCAUUUUGGGAGGCCAAGGCGGGCAGAUCACUUGAGGUCAGGAGUUCGAGACCAGCCUGGGCAACAUGGUAAAACCCCAUCUCUACUAAAAACACAAAAAUUAGCCAGGUGUGAUGGAGUAUGCUUGUAGUCCCAGCUACUUGGGAGGCUGAGGCAGGAGAAUUGCUUGAACCUGGGAGGCAGAGGUUGCAGUGAGCCAAGAUGGUGCCACUGUACUCCAGCUUGGGUGACAGAACAAGACUCCAUCUCAAAAAAAAAAUUAUUUUCAUUUUUCCUAAG
rnacentral:lncRNA from 1 species